rnacentral:rRNA from 1 species
AGGGCACCACCAGGAGUGGAGCCUGCGGCUUAAUUUGACUCAACACGGGAAAACUCACCCGGCCCGGACACCGUAAGGAUUGACAGACUGAGAGCUCUUUCUUAAUUCGGUGGGCGGUGGUGCAUGGCCGUUCUUAGUUGGUGGAGCGAUUUGUCUGGUUAAUUCCGAUAACGAACGAGACUCUGGCCUAUUAAAUAGUCGGUAUAUCCAGAAAAGUUUACCGUACUUCUUAGAGGGACAAACGGCGUCUAGCCGCGUGAAAUAGAGCAAUAACAGGUCUGUGAUGCCCUUAGAUGUCCGGGGCUGCACGCGCGCUACACUGAAAGAAUCAGUAUGCGCUUUAACCUAGUCCGGAAGGAUUGGGUAACCCGAGCAAAUUCUUUCGUGCUUGGGAUAGGGAAUUGCAAUUAUUUCCCUUAAACGAGGAAUUCCCAGUAAAUGCGGGUCAUAAGCUCGCGUUGAUUACGUCCCUGCCCUUUGUACACACCGCCCGUCGCUACUACCGAUUGGAUGACUUAG